GGGCCCGUAGUCUAGUGGUAUGAUUCCGCCCUCACUAGGCGGAGGUCCCGGGUUCGAAUCCCGGCGGGCCCA
rnacentral:tRNA from 2 species